UGGGGAAUAUUGCACAAUGGGCGCAAGCCUGAUGCAGCAACGCCGCGUGAGGGACGACGGCCUUCGGGUUGUAAACCUCUUUUGGCAGGGAAGAAGCGAGAGUGACGGUACCUGCAGAAAAAGCACCGGCUAACUACGUGCCAGCAGCCGCGGUGAUACGUAGGGUGCAAGUGUUGUCCGGAAUUAUUGGGCGUAAAGAGCUCGUAGGCGGUUUGUCGCGUCUGCUGUGAAAACCCGAGGCUCAACCUCGGGCCUGCAGUGGGUACGGGCAAACUAGAGUGCGGUAGGGGAGAUUGGAAUUCCUGGUGUAGCGGUGGAAUGCGCAGAUAUCAGGAGGAACACCGAUGGCGAAGGCAGAUCUCUGGGCCGUAACUGACGCUGAGGAGCGAAAGCAUGGGGAGCGAACA
rnacentral:rRNA from 1 species